UAUAAUAGCCGGUUCCCGUACGAUCACCAAAGUUAGACAACGUCGAAUUUGGUCAGUACCUCGAUGGGUGACCGCUUGGGAAUAGCAGGUGCUGUAAG